ACAGUUUGUUUGUCACAGGACAACCAAUAAACAGUUGUAGAAGUACAUGCUGAUUGCUGCGCGGUUAGUAACAAAAAUAGCUUAUAAGUGAGCGGACGGUAAUGGUUUUGGUUCUGAGAAAAUUGCGUAAAUUAAAACAAACUUUAUUUUGUUUGGUAAUAUUACAUUGAUUUUGUGUACCAGAGCCGUGCGCGGUAUGCUAAUUGUUAGUGGCAGUGGUUUACGUUUAAAUAAACCAAGAUCCUUAUAUACAUAUACAUGUGUAGAUUUUACCCAGCGGCCAUAAAUUAUUUUAACGAAACCCAUUUUAUAAUUUAGAGCAUGUUGCAACUAAAAAAUGUGUGAUACAUAAGAUUGAUAUGAUAUUUAUGGGCCAAAUGUUGCUAGAAAUUAUAUGUGUUAUUUCAACUGGAAUUGGGUAUUGCCUUUAUAAAGCGCAUGGAUAUACAGGAGCUAAAAAGUAAGGACUAAGAUUAAUACUAGAAGAAACUAUUGAUUAUGAUUGAAGCGAUUUUGAAAUACUGUUGAUUGUUUAUGAACAAAGGUGCAUUCACAUUAAUAUAGAAUCAGUGGCAAUCAAUAUACAAAUACAAAUAAACACUAGUGUGCAAAUUAUUAAUAUUAUGGAUGGAAUUUAACACCAAUUGAUGAAUAAAAAGCUAUGUUUGAUGCGAAUAAGCAAAAAAAAAUCUAAAAAAAAUGUAUUAAAUCAGCCUUGGCUGUUAACCGGAUGGAAAAUUUUAGGUUUAAACGAGCAAAAGCUUUUACAUAUAAAGAAUUGCUUUCAAUGGGCUGUGCGUCGUUACUCGGAUUAAUUUCUCUACGUUAAUCGUAUAUGGUAUUAUCUGAUAUAAAAAAUGUGAGCGCAAAUUUGUUUAAAUUUGACUGAACUAAAAUAUAUUUCCGAAGAAUUUAUUGCGCACGUAUUUAGUCGAAGACUACGAGUUUAAUUUUGAUACUUAAUAUCAGUUGUAAGUCUC